ACUUUUUUUUAUUUUAUACAAAAAUCACUCAAGAGACAAAGAAAAGCUCUCAAAGAAGCAAGUUCUGUCAAGAUCCCUUUCCUUCUUUCUUCCUCCCUCCUCGUCAAAAGACCUCUCGCCGGAGCAAUCGCCGCCGGCCAAGCCUCCUACUGGUCUCCCUCUCCCCUUGCUCGGAUACCAUGGUCCACCCUUCCCGCCGGUCUUCUCAAUCGAACAUGCUCCGUCUUGCUCUUUCGCGCCGAAACUCCCUUCGACUUCUACCUCCGUCUCCACGUGAAAAUUCCUCUAUGGGUAGCUCCUCAUUUCGAUCGUUGCUUCCUUCUCCGAUUCAAUUGCUUCGCAUUAUUUUUGGUAACUUCUUUAAUCUUGCUUGUGUUAAUUAUUGUGUUGAGAUUUAAUUGUGAAUUCACUUGA